rnacentral:rRNA from 1 species
GACGAACGCUGGCGGCGUGCUAACACAUGCAAGUCGAACGAGUGGCGAACGGGUGAGUAAUGUAUGGGGAUCUGCCCGAUAGAGGGGGAUAACUACUGGAAACGGUGCUAUACCGCAUACUGUCGGAUGAACCCAUAUGGGAUUAGCUAGUAGGUAAGGUAAUGGCUUACCUAGGCGACGAUCCCUAGCUGGUCUGAGAGGAUGAUCAGCCACACUGGGACGGAGACACGGCCCAGACUCCUACGGGAGGCAGCAGUGGGGAAUUUUGGACAAUGGGGGCAACCCUGAUCCAGCCAUCCCGCGUGUGCGAUGAAGGCUUCGGGUUGUAAAGCACUUUUGGCAGGAAAGCGGUACCUGCAGAAUAAGCACCGGCUAACUACGUGCCAGCAGCCGCGGUAAUUC